rnacentral:rRNA from 1 species
GACGAAUGCUGGCGGCGUGCUUAACACAUGCAAGUCGAACGGAAAGGCCCUGCUUUUGUGGGGUGCUCGAGUGGCGAACGGGUGAGUAACACGUGAGUAACCUGCCCUUGACUUUGGGAUAACUUCAGGAAACUGGGGCUAAUACCGGAUAGGAGCUCCUGCUGCAUGGUGGGGGUUGGAAAGUUUCGGCGGUUGGGGAUGGACUCGCGGCUUAUCAGCUUGUUGGUGGGGUAGUGGCUUACCAAGGCUUUGACGGGUAGCCGGCCUGAGAGGGUGACCGGCCACAUUGGAACUGGGAUACGGCCCAGACUCCUACGGGGGGCAGCGGGGGGGAAUAUGGCACAAGGGGCGGAAGCCGGAUGCAGCAACGCCGCGUGCGGGAGGACGGCCUUCGGGUGGUAAACCGCUUUCGCCGGUGACGAAGCGUGGGUGACGGUAAUGGGGAAAGAAGCACCGGCUAACUACGU